UACGAAGGGGGCUAGCGUUGCUCGGAAUCACUGGGCGUAAAGCGCACGUAGGCGGACUCUUAAGUCAGGGGUGAAAUCCUGGAGCUCAACUCCAGAACUGCCCUUGAUACUGGGAGCCUUGAGUUCGGGAGAGGUGAGUGGAACUGCGAGUGUAGAGGUGAAAUUCGUUGAUAUCAUCAGGAACACCGGAGGCGAAAGCGGUCCACUGGGUCCUUUCUGACGCUGAGGGACGAAAGCUAGGGGAGCGAACGGG
rnacentral:rRNA from 1 species